rnacentral:rRNA from 1 species
AUUAACGCUAGCGGCAGGCAUAAUACAUGCAAGUUGAACGGCAGCACAGGUAGCAAUACUGGGUGGCGAGUGGCGCACGGGUGCGUAACACGUAUGCAACCUACCCUAUACAGGCGAAUAACCUUUAGAAAUGAGGGCUAAUACGCCGUAGUAUUACAGAUGGGCAUCUAUUUGUAAUUAAAGAUUUAUCGGUAUAGGAUGGGCAUGCGUCCCAUUAGUUAGUUGGUAAGGUAACGGCUUACCAAGACGAUGAUGGGUAGGGGAUCUGAGAGGACUUACCCCCACACUGGUACUGAGACACGGACCAGACUCCUACGGGAGGCAGCAGUAAGGAAUAUUGGGCAAUGGCCGCGAGGCUGACCCAGCCAUGCCGCGUGCAGGAAGACGGCCUUAUGGGUUGUAAACUGCUUUUAUACAGGAAUAAUAGAGUGUACGCGUACAUUUAUGCAAGUAUCGUAUGAAUAAGCAUCGGCUAACUCCGUG